rnacentral:rRNA from 1 species
UACAGAGGUGGCAAGCGUUGUUCGGAAUUACUGGGCGUAAAGGGCGCGUAGGCGGUCUUGUAAGUCUCGUGUGAAAUCCCUCGGCUUAACUGAGGAACUGCACGGGAUACUGCAUGACUUGAGAUCGGGAGAGGGAAGCGGAAUUCCGGGUGUAGCGGUGAAAUGCGUAGAUAUCCGGAGGAAUACCGGUGGCGAAGGCGGCAUCCUGGACCGACAUUGACGCUGAUGAGCGAAAGCUAGGGGAGCAACGGG